rnacentral:lncRNA from 1 species
UGGGGGUGUCUGCCCAGCCCCGGCUGAGACGCGACCCCCCGUGCUGCCCCCUUGCAGAGCUCACAGACCUGCGGCUGGUGGGCGACAGCAGCUGCACCGGGCGCCUGGAGGUCUUCUACAACGGGACGUGGGGCAGCGUGUGCGCCAACGGCACCAGCCCUGCCACAGCCGCCGUGGUGUGCCGGCAGCUGGGCUGCGGGGCCAGGGGCUGGCUGGAAUCUGCCCCCGCAACCUCCCAGGGCUCGGGCCCUGCGUGGCUGGCCUGGGUGCAGUGCGGGCCGGGGACCGACUCCCUCUGGCACUGCCUCUCAGCACCCUGGCACCUGCAGCCCUGCGACUCCCUCGGGGACGCCCACAUCACAUGCGACGGGGAGCCUGGAGACACCAGAGGGACUCCCACACCAGCCACAGCAACCGGCUGCCCAGACGGUGCAGCCUGCACAGGUGCCCCCAGGAGCGUCAUGGCAGGUGCUGAGGCCAUGCCAGUGCCCACCAUCCUCUGCAUCGUCCUGGGGACCCUUCUCUGCCUGGCCCUGKGUGCCCUUGCCACGCAGGCAUGGCGCACCAUGGCUCGGCGCAGAGGCCCUGGCAGAGCCGCAGACGCAAUCUCCGAGGCCGUCUAUGAGGAGCUCGACUACACCCUGACGCCGGAGUACCAGGAGGUGCCCAGUGGCUCAGACACCCCUGCCCUGCCCAGGCACGACCCCCCGGACGGGUAUGACGAUGCUGCGGCCGUGCUGGACCCGGGAGAGGCCGCUGCUCCGGGGCCGAGCGAUGGAGGUGUCUCUGAGGCGGAGGAGCUGGGAGCAGGGACCCRGCCCUYGCUGAGCCCCCUGGAGCCGCYGGGAGCCACGAUAGACACCCCGGCCUCAGCGCCCGGGGACGCGGGCUACGACGACGUUGGUGUCAGYWGCCCCGGUAUGUUGCUGUGAGCACGGUGUGGCCGCGCUGUGGCAGUCCCUGAGGACACGUGCAGCCCUGUGGGUCUCUGCCCCCGUGGAGCCACAACCCAGCCAUAGAGAGCAUCAUCCGCCUGGUUGUGUGCCUGCUCGGGCCUGCCAGGGACAACGGGUACUGUGGAGAACUGCCUCCAUCGUCCCUCCCACACAGCCCUGCGGGUGCUGCCUGACUGUGUGUGUGCUUCCAGUCUGCAUUUCUCUCUUUCCUAUUAAAAAAACAAAGAUUUC